CCGGAAGGCAGCGGGGACGGAAUGGAGGGAAGCCAGCCCCAGCAUUCCUGACGCACCCAUUCCCUCUCGGACUCCUCGCCAGGCCUGCCACACCCCUGCGGCCAGCUGGGCAGUGGGCACAGGAAUGCUGGGGCAGCCGCGGGCCGGGCCGACCUUGGAGGAGGCCUAAGGACAAGCAGUGGAGCGAGGCCUGCACUCCCGGGCCGAGCGCAGAGUGCCUUCCAAGUGUUCCCUCCCAGCCCUUGGAGAGAGGGGCUGUCUUAGGAAACCGAGGCUUGGAGGUCACUCCCUCAGGGCCUGAGGCUUCAGGACACCCUCCGUCUCCUCCUUCAGAGCCUGGGUCCCAAACUUGACUGUGCAUCAGAAUUGCCUGGAAGUCCUGUUAAGUCACAUUUCGGGGGCCCACCUGCAGCGUCUGAUUCAGCCGCUCAUGCUGCUGCUGCCCGUCCAGGAACUGCAUUUUGAGUGCCAUUGCUUUAAAGAAUUAGUCACUGUUGGGGGACGAAAACUUUUAUUUCAAGUUCAGCAAUCCCUUUUGGCUUCACUUCACAUUCUUUUCUCUUGGUUCAUUGAACAUAAGUUAAACUUCGCUUUAACAAAGGCCCAUGUGGAAUUGUUCUUUCCCUGCUGUCUCUUCAUCCCCAUUCCUGCAUCCCCGUAUUGUUAGGAAUGUUCCAAUUUCACGUACAUCCUGGUAAGUUCUCUAAUUUUCUGUCUGGCUUGAUUCUGAUGAUGAUCAGGUGUCAUUUAAAAAAAAAAAUACAAUGAAGCCAUUCUUUAAAGGAGGAAAAUCCCCUCAGAGGGCAAUUGUGAGAAUUUGUUUAAAGGAAAUAAUGAAAGUUAUGUGGCCCUAAAAAGUAUUAAUAAAUGGUAGCUGUUACCAGUGAACACAAA